GACGAACGCUGGCGGCGUGCUUAACACAUGCAAGUCGAACGGAAAGGCCCUGCUUUUGUGGGGUGCUCGAGUGGCGAACGGGUGAGUAACACGUGAGUAACCUGCCCUUGACUUUGGGAUAACUUCAGGAAACUGGGGCUAAUACCGGAUAGGAGCUCCUGCUGCAUGGUGGGGGUUGGAAAGUUUCGGCGGUUGGGGAUGGACUCGCGGCUUAUCAGCUUGUUGGUGGGGUAGUGGCUUACCAAGGCUUUGACGGGUAGCCGGCCUGAGAGGGUGACCGGCCACAUUGGGACUGAGAUACGGCCCAGACUCCUACGGGAGGCAGCAGUGGGGAAUAUUGCACAAUGGGCGGAAGCCUGAUGUAGCAACGCCGCGUGCGGGAUGACGGCCUUCGGGUUGUAAACCGCUUUCGCCUGUGACGAAGAGUGAGUGACGGUAAUGGGUAAAGAAGCACCGGCUAACUACGUG
rnacentral:rRNA from 1 species